GCCUGGGUGGCUCAGUCGGUUGAGCGUCCGACUGCGGCUCAGGUCGCGAUCUCGCGGUCCCUGAGUUCGAGCCCGGGCUCUGGGCU